rnacentral:rRNA from 1 species
UAAAAACCCCGACUUCGGAAGGGGUGUAUUUAUUAGAUACAAAACCAAUGCCCUUCGGGGCUCUUUGGUGAUUCAUGAUAACUAUACGAAUCGCACGGCCUUGCGCCGGCGAUGGUUCAUUCAAAUUUCUUCCCUAUCAACUUUCGAUGUUUGGGUAUUGGCCAAACAUGGUUGCAACGGGUAACGGAGGGUUAGGGCUCGACCCCGGAGAAGGAGCCUGAGAAACGGCUACUACAUCCAAGGAAGGCAGCAGGCGCGCAAAUUACCCAAUCCCGACCCGGGGAGGUAGUGACAAUAAAUACUGAUACAGGGCCCUUUCGGGCCUUGUAAUUGGAAUGAGUACAAUUUAAAUCCCUUAACGAGGAACAAUUGGAGGGCAAGUCUGGUGCCAGCAGCCGCGGUAAUUCCAGCUCCAAUAGCGUAUAUUAAAGUUGUUGUGGUUAAAAAGCUCGUAAUUGAACCUUAGGCCUGGCUGGCCGGUCCGCCUCAAGAAUGCACUAGAAGGGACGGGCCUUUCCCAGGGUGGAACAUAAUACCCGGCACGAAGUGGACUAGAAACAAGAGUGAUAAAUAAAA